UACGUAGGGCGCAAGCGUUUAUCCGGAAUUAUUGGGCGUAAAGAGCUCGUAGGCGGUUUGUCGCGUCUGCCGUGAAAGUCCGGGGCUCAACUCCGGAUCUGCGGUGGGUACGGGCAGACUAGAGUGAUGUAGGGGAGACUGGAAUUCCUGGUGUAGCGGUGAAAUGCGCAGAUAUCAGGAGGAACACCGAUGGCGAAGGCAGGUCUCUGGGCAUUAACUGACGCUGAGGAGCGAAAGCUAGGGGAGCGAACAGG
rnacentral:rRNA from 1 species